rnacentral:rRNA from 1 species
UACGAAGGGGGCUAGCGUUGCUCGGAAUCACUGGGCGUAAAGCGCACGUAGGCGGAUCUUUAAGUCAGGGGUGAAAUCCCGGAGCUCAACUCCGGAACUGCCUUUGAUACUGGGGAUCUUGAGUUCGAGAGAGGUGAGUGGAACUGCGAGUGUAGAGGUGAAAUUCGUAGAUAUUCGCAAGAACACCAGUGGCGAAGGCGGCUCACUGGCUCGAUACUGACGCUGAGGUGCGAAAACGUGGGGAGCAAACAGG